AGAGUUUGAUCCUGGCUCAGGAUGAACGCUAGCGGCAGGCCUAAUACAUGCAAGUCGAACGGUGAUAGCAAUAUCAUAGUGGCGCACGGGUGCGUAACACGUAUGCAACCUACCUAUUAUUGGGGGAUAGCCUUUGGAAACGGAGAUUAAUACCGCAUAAUACGAUUGACUGGCAUCGGUUGAUUGUUAAAGCUUAGGCGAUAAUAGAUGGGCAUGCGUCCAAUUAGUUAGUUGGUUAGGUAACGGCUGACCAAGACGAUGAUUGGUAGGGGAUCUGAGAGGAUAAUCCCCCACACUGGCACUGAGAUACGGGCCAGACUCCUACGGGAGGCAGCAGUAGGGAAUAUUGGGCAAUGGGCGGAAGCCUGACCCAGCCAUGCCGCGUGCAGGAAGAAGGCGUAUGCGUUGUAAACUGCUUUUUAUAGGAAGAAGGAUCCCUUGCGAGGGAAGGUGACGGUACUAUAAGAAUAAGCACCGGCUAACUCCGUGCCAGCAGCCGCGGUAAUACGGAGGGUGCAAGCGUUGACCGGAUUUAUUGGGUUUAAAGGGUGCGUAGGCGGUUUAUUAAGUCAGUGGUGAAAGACGGUCGCUCAACGAUUGCAGUGCCAUUGAUACUGGUAG
rnacentral:rRNA from 1 species